rnacentral:rRNA from 1 species
GACGAACGCUGGCGGCGUGCUUAACACAUGCAAGUCGAACGGAAAGGCCCCUUUGGGGGUACUCGAGUGGCGAACGGGUGCGUAACACGUGAGUAACCUGCCCUUGACUUCGGGAUAACUUCAGGAAACUGGGGCUAAUACCGGAUAGGAAUCCUUGCUGCAUGGUGGGGGUUGGAAAGCUUCGGCGGUUUUGGAUGGACUCGCGGCUUAUCAGCUUGUUGGUGGGGUAGUGGCUUACCAAGGCUUUGACGGGUAGCCGGCCUGAGAGGGCGACCGGCCACAUUGGGACUGAGAGACGGCCCAGACUCCUACGGGAGGCAGCAGGGGGGAAUAUUGCACAAUGGGCGGAAGCCUGAUGCAGCAACGCCGCGUGCGGGAUGACGGCCUUCGGGUUGUAAACCGCUUUCAGCAGGGGCGAAGCUUGUGGUGACGGUACCUGCAGAAGAAGCACCGGCUAACUACGUG